AUCCAUAGACAUGCGCAUUUUAUACGAGAGUAUUAUUGGAGAGGGAGUGAGUGCACUCGCUUACACAUAUACGAUACUCUUUCUCAGUUUCCUCUCAUUGAGUAUGUAUGUGUGCGUGCAUAUAUAUGUGUAUGUAUGUAUGUAUCUAUGUAUUCAUGUAUGUAUGUAUGUACGUAUGUGUAUGUGGGAACGCGCGUGUACGUGUCGAAGCCGGGGUCCUUGCUCCCUGCCGCCGUAUGUGGGUCAGCAGUCUCACACACGUUGCUAUUCUUGCGUAACCAAUGCAUGCAUACGACCGAGAGCCGACGCUGCCGUCGCUACCGCCGCCGCCGCCGCCGCCGCCGCCGCCGCCGCCGCCGCCGCCGCCGCUGCCGUCGCCGUCGCCGUCGCCACUGCCGGCGUGCACAUGCACACACCGAGACGGAAAGUGCAGCCAAUGCACUAACCUACGGUCUCUUCUUGAGAGGCCGGAGUGCCGACGACUACGCGACGACUACAAAGACUACAAUUGGAUAUUGUCGUAGGUCGGGAUUCGACAGGACCGGUAGUUCCGGUCGAGACACGUGGUCAGCUUGAGAUCGCAUGGAAGAUGGAGGGACUGAAGGAGGAGAAGGAGAAGGAGGAGAAGAAGAGAAAAAAGAAGAAGGGGAUGUAUUAGAUUUUCGUUCGAGUCCUUCUUCCGUUUUAUCAAUAGAUAAACGUAGAGUCGAUUAAUUUCGAUCUUAUUGAAGCACAAUCAAAAACAACAUCAUCAUGAUCAUCUUCAUUAUUAUCGUCGUCGUCGUCGUCGUCGUCGUCAUCGUCGUUGUCAUUUCGUUACAUUCACUAUCACCACUGUUAAACCGUUAAUAACACAAUUACUGUCAAUGGUCACAGGUGCAUAGGAAAAACUAUACAUUCAAAUGUAGACGAUAUUAAUAACAUUGAAACUUUUACGAGAGAAACAAAAUU